rnacentral:rRNA from 1 species
GGAGAAAAGCAGGGGAUCGUAAGACCUUGCGUUAAUGGAGCGGCCGAUAUCUGAUUAGCUAGUUGGUGAGGUAAAGGCUCACCAAGGCGACGAUCAGUAGCUGGUUUGAGAGAACGACCAGCCACACUGGAACUGAGACACGGUCCAGACUCCUACGGGAGGCAGCGGUGGGGAAUUUUGGACAAUGGGGGCAACCCUGAUCCAGCCAUUCCGCGUGAGUGAAGAAGGCCUUCGGGUUGUAAAGCUCUUUCGCAAGGGAAGAAAACUUAUGAUCGAAUAAAUCAUGAGGUUGACGGUACCUUGAUAAGAAGCACCGGCUAACUACGUGCCAGCAGCCGCGGUAAUACGUAGGGUGCGAGCGUUAAUCGGAAUUACUGGGCGUAAAGCGUGCGCAGGCGGUUUUGUAAGUCGGAUGUGAAAUCCCCGGGCUCAACCUGGGAACUGCGUUUGAAACUACAAAGCUAG